GGGAGUUUGGCCGAGUGGUUAAGGCGUCAGGUUUAGGAUAUUGCGUGUAUCAGAAACCCUGAUAUCUUCGGAUGCGCGGGUUCGAAUCCCUCAGCUCUCA
rnacentral:tRNA from 1 species